GUUUUAUGUUACCAUACCAGAACUAAUCAGAAGGAGAAUUUAUAAAGUGUUGUCAAAUGCAAAUUUCCAGAACCACUGUCACUGGUGAGACCGAGUCAAGAGUCUUCCCAAGAAACAAGCAAAAUUUACAAAUUUUCACCAAGAAAGAACAAAAUGAAAAGAAGUGGGCAAUUUGCUUUAGUUUAGCCAUGUGCUCAUUGAAAAUAUCUUGCAUGCCAUGUAAAGGUGACAAUUAUGACAGUGCAGCCCAGUGCAGUUCAACUUAAGUAUAGCAAGCCAGUAAAGCUUGUUCCUUUCUUGUCGCCUAAUAUGUCUUGAUGAUUGGAAAGGAAAGACAAUUUAAACGAAGAAAAA